ACAAAAAGAGUUGUCUAAAUUAUUGUGUAGUCGGAAAUCUCUUUGUUCUUGAAAAUGCUGUCAUAUUCUGAUCAACAGGGCCACCAUCUUUAUAACCUUGUCUGUUUUGAAUUUGUUCUACAGAGCGGAGGGGAAAAGACCUGGGAAGACAAGAGGAAGUCAAUAAAAACAAGGAAGAGGAAGGGUGUUAUAUGUGAGCUCUCUUUUAAAAAAGUGAGGGAGAGGAGAUGAAGAGGAAGGAGAGGGGAGAGGAAGCAGGAGGACAGUCAGUGCUAACUCUGUUGUGUUAAAGGUAAACAAAGUCAGGAGAAAUCUAAGCUGCAGUUUCAAAACCCACAUGAAGUGACUGAUGUCUGUCUACAGUGACCUUUGUGCUGAUCAAACCUUGAAACAUUAGUUAAAUAAAAUGUCAAAGCAAUAAGAGGAAAUGUCUCAGUUUGGUGUUGAAGUUUAUGUUUUAUCUCAUGGUUUAUCUUUGCAGUGGAAAUUGUAUGAUUGAAAAUCCAAAGGCCCUGUAUUUUUAUAUCUCAAAUACUAUUAGGCCUAUGGUUUGCACAGGGCACUAUGUAAACUCUUUAACAACACACCUUAAGUAAAAGCAAAUUGUGGUAACCAUUUCCAAACUUCUGCAACCAAGUUAUUAGGCUAUAUUAGUUGAGGGGAUUCAUCACACCAGAUCUGGCUCUCUGACAGUUGUGACAGAGAGGAGGACUCUGUCAAAGCUCCACAGCAUCAUGGACAACAUCCACCACCCUCUCUACAACAUGCUGGUGAAUCAAAGGGGCACAUUCAGUGCAAGACUGAUCCCCCCUAAAUGCACCACAGAACGACACAGGAAGUCAUUCCUGCCUGUGACCAUCAGACUGUACAACUCCUCC